rnacentral:tRNA from 1 species
GGGCAGAGUGUGCAUGGCGCACAACUAGACUUGUCAUUCUAGUUUCAGGGGUUCGACUCCCCCUCUGUCCACCA